rnacentral:rRNA from 1 species
ACGGGAGACACACGGCGGGUGCUAACGUCCGUCGUGAAGAGGGAAACAACCCAGACCGCCAGCUAAGGUCCCAAAGUCAUGGUUAAGUGGGAAACGAUGUGGGAAGGCCCAGACAGCCAGGAUGUUGGCUUAGAAGCAGCCAUCAUUUAAAGAAAGCGUAAUAGCUCACUGGUCGAGUCGGCCUGCGCGGAAGAUGUAACGGGGCUAAACCAUGCACCGAAGCUGCGGCAGCGACACUAUGUGUUGUUGGGUAGGGGAGCGUUCUGUAAGCCUGUGAAGGUGUGCUGUGAGGCAUGCUGGAGGUAUCAGAAGUGCGAAUGCUGACAUAAGUAACGAUAAAGCGGGUGAAAAGCCCGCUCGCCGGAAGACCAAGGGUUCCUGUCCAACGUUAAUCGGGGCAGGGUGAGUCGACCCCUAAGGCGAGGCCGAAAGGCGUAGUCGAUGGGAAACAGGUUAAUAUUCCUGUACUUGGUGUUACUGCGAAGGGGGGACGGAGAAGGCUAUGUUGGCCGGGCGACGGUUGUCCCGGUUUAAGCGUGUAGGCUGAUUUUCCAGGCAAAUCCGGAAAAUCAAGGCUGAGGCGUGAUGACGAGGCACUACGGUGCUGAAGCAACAAAUGCCCUGCUUCCAGGAAAAGCCUCUAAGCAUCAGGUAACAUCAAAUCGUACCCCAAACCGACACAGGUGGUCAGGUAGAGAAUACCAAGGCGCUUGAGAGAACUCGGGUGAAGGAACUAGGCAAAAUGGUGCCGUAACUUCGGGAGAAGGCACGCUGAUAUGUAGGUGAAGCGACUUGCUCGUGGAGCUGAAAUCAGUCGAAGAUACCAGCUGGCUGCAACUGUUUAUUAAAAACACAGCACUGUGCAAACACGAAAGUGGACGUAUACGGUGUGACGCCUGCCCGGUGCCGGAAGGUUAAUUGAUGGGGUUAGCGGUAACGCGAAGCUCUUGAUCGAAGCCCCGGUAAACGGCGGCCGUAACUAUAACGGUCCUAAGGUAGCGAAAUUCCUUGUCGGGUAAGUUCCGACCUGCACGAAUGGCGUAAUGAUGGCCAGGCUGUCUCCACCCGAGACUCAGUGAAAUUGAACUCGCUGUGAAGAUGCAGUGUACCCGCGGCAAGACGGAAAGACCCCGUGAACCUUUACUAUAGCUUGACACUGAACAUUGAGCCUUGAUGUGUAGGAUAGGUGGGAGGCUUUGAAGUGUGGACGCCAGUCUGCAUGGAGCCGACCUUGAAAUACCACCCUUUAAUGUUUGAUGUUCUAACGUUGGCCCCUGAUCGGGGUUGCGGACAGUGUCUGGUGGGUAGUUUGACUGGGGCGGUCUCCUCCUAAAGAGUAACGGAGGAGCACGAAGGUUGGCUAAUCCUGGUCGGACAUCAGGAGGUUAGUGCAAUGGCAUAAGCCAGCUUGACUGCGAGCGUGACGGCGCGAGCAGGUGCGAAAGCAGGUCAUAGUGAUCCGGUGGUUCUGAAUGGAAGGGCCAUCGCUCAACGGAUAAAAGGUACUCCGGGGAUAACAGGCUGAUACCGCCCAAGAGUUCAUAUCGACGGCGGUGUUUGGCACCUCGAUGUCGGCUCAUCACAUCCUGGGGCUGAAGUAGGUCCCAAGGGUAUGGCUGUUCGCCAUUUAAAGUGGUACGCGAGCUGGGUUUAGAACGUCGUGAGACAGUUCGGUCCCUAUCUGCCGUGGGCGCUGGAGAACUGAGGGGGGCUGCUCCUAGUACGAGAGGACCGGAGUGGACGCAUCACUGGUGUUCGGGUUGUCAUGCCAAUGGCACUGCCCGGUAGCUAAAUGCGGAAGAGAUAAGUGCUGAAAGCAUCUAAGCACGAAACUUGCCCCGAGAUGAGUUCUCCCUGACUCCUUGAGAGUCCUGAAGGAACGUUGAAGACGACGACGUUGAUAGGCCGGGUGUGUAAGCGCAGCGAUGCGUUGAGCUAACCGGUACUAAUGAACCGUGAGGCUUAACCUU